AGUCCUGGGGGUGGGUUUCUGGGCAGGUGUGAACCCUCGGGCCCUCAGACUGCAGCACAGGCAGCGGUGAGGGCAUGACUUCCCACCAAGUUGGACCAAAAACAGUUCAAAAUGGCUGCUCUGGAGGAGACGGUGCCAUGGUGAUGCUGGACAAGGAAGGCCGAACUCUGACGUUAACAUGUGAAAGUGUUGUGACAGAGGGAGACGCAGUGGUUACCACUCCCACCCCCCGGCCCCACAAUGAGACAGUUUGGUAGGCAGCCAGGACCGACCGGGGCCCUGAGACGUCCUGGAGAGUGACCCGGAGACCCGGCUGUCGCCUCACAUCAGCUUCAGACACACAGCUGCUGGUGUGCUUCGUCUGGGGUGGACAUACAGAUUCUUCUGUUGCAAGCAUAAUCAGCAGCGGCAGCAGCUAACUGUAGCAUUUCCUGUGCAUCUUGGAGCACUUCCUGCAGGAAUAUCAGAGCAUUAUUUUGUACCAGAUUUGAUUUUGACUUGUUCUGAUUCUUUUGUAGAAUAUCCAGAGAUGAAUUUUGUUGUGAAUUAGAACUGAAUUGUUGUGGAAUUGCAGAAUUUCAGUUUUCAUGUUACUACAAUUACAGAGCUGUAUAUAAUUUUAUUUAUUACUUUAUUACAGUGGGAUAUUGAGUGUGGAUUAAUUAAAAAAUUAAUUUAACUAACUGUAGAAUCAGGCAACAAACCUAAUAUUUCAUUAAAUGACACCUCUGUAGACCGCUCUGCGUACUCAGACUGGUGUUAUAUUUCAGUGUUGUGAUGUCAAACUAAUUUUAACACAUUAAUUUGGACUUCAUGUAGUCCUAACUGAAUCGCCUUGGCUCUACUAACCGAUUUAACUGGAUUUAAUUCCUGGAGACAAUCUGCUUUGUAGCAUUUUCCCUCCAAAUGAUGCCUGACCUUCAAACCAGCAAUAUUCAGGUCACGUGUUUGUG